GAUGAACGCUGGCGGCGUGCCUAAUACAUGCAAGUCGAGCGAACGGACGAGAAGCUUGCUUCUCUGAUGUUGGCGGCGGACGGGUGAGUAACACGUGGAUAACCUACCUAUAAGACUGGGAUAACUUCGGGAAACCGGAGCUAAUACCGGAUAAUAUUAUGAACCGCAUGGUUCAAAAGUGAAAGACGGUCUUGCUGUCACUUAUAGAUGGAUCCGCGCUGCAUUAGCUAGUUGGUAAGGUAACGGCUUACCAAGGCAACGAUGCAUAGCCGACCUGAGAGGGUGAUCGGCCACACUGGAACUGAGACACGGUCCAGACUCCUACGGGAGGCAGCAGUAGGGAAUCUUCCGCAAUGGGCGAAAGCCUGACGGAGCAACGCCGCGUGAGUGAUGAAGGUCUUCGGAUCGUAAAACUCUGUUAUUAGGGAAGAACAUAUGUGUAAGUAACUGUGCACAUCUUGACGGUACCUAAUCAGAAAGCCACGGCUAACUACGUG
rnacentral:rRNA from 1 species